rnacentral:rRNA from 1 species
GACGAACGCUGGCGGCGUGCUUAACACAUGCAAGUCGAACGGAAAGGCCCUGCUUUUGUGGGGUGCUCGAGUGGCGAACGGGUGAGUAACACGUGAGUAACCUGCCCUUGACUUUGGGAUCACUUCAGGAAACUGGGGCUAAUACCGGAUAGGAGCUCCUGCUGCAUGGUGGGGGUUGGAAAGUUUCGGCGGUUGGGGAUGGACUCGCGGCUUAUCAGCUUGUUGGUGGGGUAGUGGCUUACCAAGGCUUUGACGGGUAGCCGGCCUGAGAGGGUGACCGGCCACAUUGGGACGGAGAUACGGCACAGACUCCUACGGGAGGCAGCAGUGGGGAAUAGUGCACAAUGGGCGGAAGCCUGAUGCAGCAACGCCGCGUGCGGGAUGACGGCCUUCGGGUUGUAAACCGCUUUCGCCUGUGACGAAGCGUGAGUGACGGUAAUGGGUAAAGAAGCACCGGCUAACUACGUG